UAGGUUACCUUAGCAACAUCGUUGGUACAUUUUUUUUAUCAUAUUUUUAAUAGAUUUGUGAUUCGAUAGUUUUCUGCAGUGUAUAAAAAAUAAAAGUCGAUUAAUUUUUUAAUGGUAAAUUCCAGGUAUUUGAAGUGAAAAUACUCAUAACAAGGAAUUGACUUAUCAGUAACUAUGCUUGAAUGAAUUGAAUGGGAAACGUUCAAAAACUUGAAAUAACACGGGCGAAGGAACGAACAUUCAAAUACUAUACUGACACAUGUAUAAUUACUAAGUUAAUAAAAUUAAUAAUGUAUUAAUUAGCGGUAAGACCAUUAGAUGGUCAGAUGGAGAGUAUUUAUCUCAUAAUAACUUAUACAUACAAGUUCAACAAAAUUGAAGGAACUUAUUGUAAUUCGAUGAAUUAAUCAAACUAAAACAGACGCAAGAAAAACAACUAGGUAUUGGUGACAGUUUUUCUAAGACUAUAAAGAAUGGAUAAUAAUGAGAUGUAAAUGUAUGUCAUCUGAGGCGAUAACCCAAGAGGUUACCUUCAGUCUAUAGGUACAAGGCAGUAAAUAUUAGUACUUGUAACGACCCACCGAAAGAGGCAAAGAGCACCUAAAUUCUUCCCAAUCAGCGAGUGAAAAUUUAAUAGAGAAACUAUCCAGUAACAAUUCAAUUUUGAAGAAAUUUGUACAUUUUUUUGAUCUUUGUUAUUGAUUUUUGGAUCCAAAAUUCAAAACAUAGGCGAUCGUCAUACUUUCAGACUUCAAACAUAAAGAUAUUGAACAGCUAACAUUAAACUAUUUAAACACUA